GUGGGCUGCGCGGCCGUUGCGACGAGCUGCAUUGCUGAUUCUUCGCUUGAGACUGGCAAUUGUCGAGCGGGUUGCAUCCGUUGUUACGUUGCCCGAAGACAGUAGUAAAUGUGAUUUGCAGGGUGCAAGCAACGUGUCAUUGUGGUUAGAAAAAAUGAAUCAGUAUACAUGUGAUUUAACUGUCAAAGCCGGAAUGUUUAAAGGAUCGACUGUCCAGCGAGGAGAUUGCGGAAUCAGCAACUGACAUAUUGACUGAUGAAACAUGAUGGUGCGUGCAGCAAGAGAGGGUUUGACUGCAGAUCCUGACCACCUGCUCCUGUAAAUUUGUACCAACCACAGGCGAAAACAAGAAGAAACGCUUUGAAUACCUGCGGUCUUCUAUCAGCUAGACAAGUCCCUGAAGCUAUAAAUCAAUAAACUUUGAUGUAUUCUGCUUUGGAGGU